UCAUGGCUAAAUCUAAUACACGAGAAUUAAAAAAAAAAUCCAUCCAAAUUGGUGGAGAACCCAGGCAGCGACCUUGUUGCGGACGACGGGAUGGUGGCGACAUCUACUCUGAAUGAAGAAAAGCAAAGGGGAUUCAUUGGAGCGAAGAAUCAGUUUGAUGAACAGCUCUUGAAUAUGCUAAAACAUCUUCAGCAUUCUUCUUCUUCUUCUGAUUAUCAUCUUUGGUGAUUAUAGUUUCUCGAAUCACCUCUCUAGCUUUGCCCAUCUUAUCAUCACUCUGCUUCUUCUCCAACUGCUCUUUUCUCGCCUCCAUCAUUUUUGCCUUGGAUUUUCAGAUCUUAAUUUGGCUGCUCAAGUAAUUAAAGCCGGAUCAAAUGCAUUCAAUCAAACGUGUCUUCACCAC
rnacentral:lncRNA from 1 species